rnacentral:rRNA from 1 species
GGGUUCGACCAUACCAGCACUAAUGCACCGGAUCCAAUCAAAACUCCACAAUUAAGCGUGCUUGGGCAAGAGUAGUACUGGGAUGGGUGACCUCCUGGGAAUGCCUCGUGUUUCACCCC